AUGCGAGAGUGAUUGUUUGUCUGUAUGGCUGAAUCCCAAACCGCCCCCUACACACUAUCCCUACACACUACCCCUCCGUUUGCGCGUUCCCGCGGAGGGUCCUCCAUAUUAAGGGCCGUCCCAAACCGCGUAGUGCGGAGGGAGAGUGGACUGUUCAGCCCUUAAAUAGCGAGUCUGCAUCGAUGCUCACUCUGGACAACUUUUUCAGGAAGUGCAACAUCGAAAUGGAGGAGGAAACAAACAUAUUGAUUACACACAAACAGUCUUAAGAAGACUGCUGAUUUGACAGCUCUCCAGAAGACAGUCACUGACACCAUUCACGAGGAGGAUAAGACUCAAAAGCUGAAAAGGCUGCUGUUCAUUGAGUGCUGUAUCAAAGCCUGUCAUCUCAAGUCUUUGCUUGAGAUGACGGUCAAGAAAAGCCAAGCGGGAGCCAGAACAUCCAGAACGACCAAAUGUGUCCAGGAAAUGAGCCACAGGUGCCGAAUUCCUGUUGUCAAGCAACUCCUGAACACCCAGCAACAUAAGAAGUGUCUUACCUGGGCUGAGUAGAGUUAAAAACUGGUCUGUUGCUAAAGUAAAUUUUCCACCUCUUUUGGAAAUCAAGGUCCCAGUGCUGAAGGAAGACUGGAGAGUUACAGGAUGAAAGUUCCUUGAAGUCCAGUGUGAAGUUUCCACAGUCAGUGAUGAUUUGGGGUGCCAUAUCUGGUAUGCAUUUGCAGUGAG